rnacentral:lncRNA from 1 species
GGGACCCAUUAUUAAUAGUGUCAUGGGUUUCUGGGAUUACUGUGUCUCAGAGGUUUAUUGUAUGUUCAUUUGCUCUGUUUACUAGCAAAAUGUUUCUCAUCCAGAUUCUCAUCUUCUAGGGCUGUAAAUGCAGCUUAGGAUCUGAAAGUCAGGAUGAGCUCUUCCAGGGUCAUCCAUCAAGAAUAAUAAAGUGUCUCCUGGAGGUUACACAUGGAUAAUGCAGAAGAGAGAAAAAGCUCCAGUUCUUGAGUUCUGUUAGUACACUGGGACUGAGGGCAGGAAAAUGCAGCUGACAGGGAUUAAUGGAAGCUCCAGCACACUCUCAUAUGACAGAGGAGACAUGGGAUUACAGCAGUUUCUUCUUCAAGACAUGAAAAUUACACUCUCUAAGCCACUAGAAUAAAGUAACUUGUGAUGAACAUUGACUUUAAUGGCUACUGGGGAUGUCUCACCCCACUACUAAAAUCCAGCCACUUGCUUGUCAGAUGAGAACACAUCUGCCACCCAGCCAUCUGCAGUCACAGUGAAAAGAAGCUCGGAGAUGGCUGUGUCAGGGUCACAAUGCAACAGAAAUGGAAACUGACAUUCAACAGAAGCAACUUCCCUAGCCUGAAAAUUAUUUUUACAUCAAGUUUUAAAAUAAAAUAAAAUAUAGACAUUUUAAAAGGACUGAC